rnacentral:rRNA from 1 species
GACGAACGCUGGCGGCGUGCCUAAUACAUGCAAGUAGAACGCUGAAGGAGGAGCUUGCUUCUCUGGAUGAGUUGCGAACGGGUGAGUAACGCGUAGGUAACCUGCCUGGUAGCGGGGGAUAACUAUUGGAAACGAUAGCUAAUACCGCAUAAGAUUGACUAUUGCAUGAUAGUCAGUUAAAGGGUGCAAUUGCAUCACUACCAGAUGGACCUGCGUUGUAUUAGCUAGUUGGUGGGGUAACGGCUCACCAAGGCGACGAUACAUAGCCGACCUGAGAGGGUGAUCGGCCACACUGGGACUGAGACACGGCCCAGACUCCUACGGGAGGCAGCAGUAGGGAAUCUUCGGCAAUGGACGGAAGUCUGACCGAGCAACGCCGCGUGAGUGAAGAAGGUUUUCGGAUCGUAAAGCUCUGUUGUAAGAGAAGAACGAGUGUGAGAGUGGAAAGUUCACACUGUGACGGUAUCUUACCAGAAAGGGACGGCUAACUACGUG